UACGAAGGGGGCUAGCGUUGCUCGGAAUUACUGGGCGUAAAGGGCGCGUAGGCGGCACUGUUAGUCAGGCGUGAAAGUCCUGGGCUCAACCUGGGAACUGCGCUUGAUACGGCAGAGCUAGAGGAUGCAAGAGGGUCGCGGAAUUCCCAGUGUAGAGGUGAAAUUCGUAGAUAUUGGGAAGAACACCGGUGGCGAAGGCGGCGACCUGGUCCAUUACUGACGCUGAGGCGCGACAGCGUGGGGAGCAAACAGG
rnacentral:rRNA from 1 species